GGAACCUGUCCUAUAAUUGAUAAUCCACGAUUUAAAUUACUUACUUUAUUAGUUUGCAUAUCGCUGUAGGUUGAAUAUUUUUUAAGAAUAAUAAUGUUCAAGAUUUUCUAGGAGAAAGUAAAUCAGGUCAAGGUGUAGUUUAUAGGUAAGAAGAGAUGGGUUACAAUAAAUUUAUUUAUGCGGAUUAAUUAUUUAAAAUUUUUAUGAAGUUGGAUUUGAGGGUAAUUUUGAUUAAUUUAUCAGGAUGAUUUUAGCUCUAAAAUGUGCACAUAUCGCCCGUCACUUUCACUAUAAAGUGGAAUAAGUCGUAACAUAGUAGAUGUACUGGAAAGUGUAUCUAGAAAGGCAAAUCAGAGCUUGUUAUAAAGCAUUUUAUUUACAUUAAAAAGUUUAUUGUGAGAGUCAAUAUGAUUUGGAUUAUAUUUAUUAUUAUUAAAUAUUUAUUUUUAUUUAAUUUUAUGAAAAUAAUUUAUUGUUUUAUUAAUAUUAAGAAAUAAUUUAUUUUAUUAUAGGGAAUUAGUAUUGUCAAAGAAAUAAAUAUAAAUAAAUAAAAUAACAAUUAAAUUUUGGUACCUUGUGCAUCAGGGUUUAUUAAAUAAAUAUUAUGAAGUUUAAUUUUCUCGAAUUUAAAAGAGCUAUAAAGUUAUAAUUUUUAUUGUUGAAUAAAUAUUAUUAAUAACUUUAUUGUAAUGAAACGUUAUUCGUUUUUGCAUAUAUCUAGUUUUUUAAGAAAAAAAUUUAAUUUUUUUAGUAAAAAUAUCCUUUUAAAUUUUUAAAUUGAUAUUAUUAUUAAUUAAUAUUUUUAGGGAUGAGCUUAAGAGUAGAUUUUUAUAAAUAAAUAUUAUAAUUUAAAUAAAUAGGAUUAUAAAUUUUCAUUUUUAGUAGUAUGUUAUAAUUAAUUUAAUUAAUCAUAAAAUUUAUAUUUAUUUUAAAUUUUUUAUUAAAGUAUUUACUUUAAUUUUUAAUGUAAAGUAAUAAUGAUAAAAUUAGUAUAAUUUAUUGUAUUGUUUAAAUAUAUUUAAGGUUAAAUAAAGGAAUUCGGCAAAUAAUUUUUCACCUGUUUAUUAAAAACAUGGCCUUUUGAUUUUAAUUUAAGGUCUCGCCUGCCCAAUGAUUAUUAUUGAAUGGCCGCGGUAUUUUGACCGUGCAAAGGUAGCAUAAUCAUUUGUUUUUUAAUUGAAAGCUAGAAUGAAGGGUUGUAUGAGAAAAUUACUGUCUCUGUUUAAAUUAAUUAGAACUUUAUUUUUAAGUUAAAAAGCUUAAUUAAUUUUUGAAGACGAGAAGACCCUAUAGAGUUUUAUAGUCUAAAAAUUUGAGUAGUUUAGGAUUAAUAUUAUUUAAUUUUGAGGAUUAUUUAAUUGGGGUGAUUGAAAAAUUUAUUAAACUUUUUUUUUAUAUAUACAUAAAUUAAUGAAUAAUUGAUCCUUUUUUAAAGAUUAAAAGAUUAAAUUACCUUAGGGAUAACAGCGUAAUUUUUUUUUAGAGUCCAAAUCAAAAAAAAAGAUUGCGACCUCGAUGUUGGAUUAAAAUUUAUACUUGGUGUAGCAGCUGAGUGGUUGGGUCUGUUCGACCUUUAAUAUUUUACUUGAUCUGAGUUCAAACCGGUGUAAGCCAGGUUGGUUUCUAUCUCGAAAAAUAAUAAAUAUUUUAGUACGAAAGGACCAGAUAUUUAAUUAAUAAUUUUUAGAAAGAAUAAUAUUAGUUAUUUUGGCAGAAUAGUGCAAUAGAUUUAGAAUCUAUAUAUGUAAUUUUUACAAAUAAUACUUGAUAUUAAAAGAUUUAUUUUUGAUGUUAAUUUCUAUGUUGAUUUUAAUUUUUUGUGUAAUAAUUGGGGUAGCCUUUUUAACUUUAUUAGAACGAAAAGUUUUAGGAUAUAUUCAAAUUC
rnacentral:rRNA from 1 species